UCCAGCUUCAGCAGCACUUUUAUUAAUGUGAAACAAUAUAGAGGAGACUGGCAUGGCCUGGCAUAAAGAUGCCACAAAACCUCAUGAAGCAUUUUAUAUAUAU